rnacentral:SRP_RNA from 1 species
CAUUGGUCUCCUCGCGACGAUAAACUACGAACCCAGCCAGGACCGGAAGGUAGCAACUGUAGUAGUGGAUUUGUGCGCUGAGAAUCGGCUGAUGUGG